CGACAACCCGGAAAUAGGCGGGGCGCGGGACCCAGCCUCUCUCCUCAUGUGAUGCUUUCUGCCACAAAAUGACCUUCACCAGAUGCAGCCUCUGGAUCUUGGACUUUCGCAGUCCCCAGAACUGGUGUCAAGAUACAUCUUGGUGUUGAAUGAAGUUGUUCCAUAUGGGCUCAUUUCUCAGGACACAAAUUAAAAUUAUCAACGCAGCUUGUAGAUACCACAGGAGGCUCAACAUUGAAAAUACAUAAGUUUGCAUUACAUUCUACAUUUUCUAAUCAAAGGAGGAAAAAUUAAGGUGAAGUAUCAGAUUCUAUGUUUAUUUUUGAAGUUAUAUAAUAAAUAUAAAUGUUGGAACAAAUGGCUUGUUAAAAUGUAUUAGGAGUCUACUUUGAGACAUCAAUCAUUAUGUUCAUUAUAUAUUUAUAUACGUUAUAUCUUUAAAUACUGGUAAUUAUUAAGUGGUACUUAAGAACACAGAGGGUAUCUGUAAAGUAACAUGUGAGCAAGAAAAGAUGUGAUAACGUAUUGAGUUAGAGUCCAAUCAGAGCUACAUCUUAAGACUAGGUAGAAGAUAGUAACUUUUACGGCUUGAUAUGAAUAAAUUGACUUGUCCUAGUUAUUUGUUAAAAACCUGUACUGGCAAAAUGCCAGCUAUAUUCAUGCACAAAGCUGAAGAUCAAGAAUUUUUUUUAAGUAGUGUCAAAUGUCAUACAUUUAAAGCAGGAAUUCUAAUAAAAUGUCUCCUUUUGUAAUUUUAUACAAAUGGAUUAAGUAUCAUCAAGAGUGGAUACAGUGUUCUUUUUGUGUAUUGAUUUUUAAGAAAUACUUUCUCAGAUGUGUCAGACAUACCUAGAUUUCUAAGGGAGGUUUUUUUUUAUUUUUUAUUUUUUAUUUUUUAUUUUUUUUUGUUGUUGUUGUAUCUUGGCUCUGUUCUUAUAAAGCAAUGUUUUGGCAAAGUCGGCAAGUUCCUUAAAUGAAGAUUUUUUUCCCCCUCCUGGGUAUCAGGAGACCAUUUUAAUUCACUCACCAGCUAAACUCUCAAAGGUACUGGUAUAUAUGGUAACAUAGGAGCCAAUAUCCUAGCUAUCAGUUUUCAUACAGCCUAGCUGGACCUUUACAUUACGGCUGCCCCACAUUUAUUGUUCUUUCAUUGCAUCUGUCAGCGUUUCCUGACAGCACAUUAUGGAGCACAUGGCUACAAAGUCAGUAUCAAUCAGUCCACGAUCAUGCAGAUAUAAGUAGCAGACUAUUGAUAAUGGGCCUUAAAUCAGAUCAUCAUGGUUUAAGCAUAAGAUUCUUAAAAGGCAGCUAUCUCAGGGGAACUUCUACUUGCCUGCACCUGUUAUAAACCCUACAAGCCAGUUUCUACUACCUACCACCUUCAACUUCUCUGAAGAAAAAAAAAAGGAUCUAUUAAGCACACAUACACAUAUGCUAUAACACAUUUCACCAUGUACAAUGAAGCAUGAAAGCAAAGGUGGCAAUUAAUAUAACUUUUUGCUCUAUUCCUUCAAAAAAUGUGCAGAAGCAAUAUAUAAUAUCUCCCCUAACACUAAUGAACCCAGACUACCAAGCCCCACAUACACCUCACAUGGAUAACAGCAGUUUUGUUGUGCUUUGGAAACGUCUUACUUCAAAAGCAUUUCAACUUGAUGUGGCCAUUUAACAAGAAAAGUGAGAGAAUGCAUAGAGUUUAGAGGUAUGCUACACCAAACUCAAGGCACCAUGUUAAAAACAAAGGCAUCUAAUUUUUCCCAGACAUAAAUAAUAAAACAAAACAGGAGUUGCAUGCAAAUUUAGUAACAUAAAAUUUAAGGUGAUAAACAGAAUGGAGGCUGGCUUCUUGUUUAGUAUUCCUCAGUUAUCACCAUAAUUGCUGCAUGUCUGUCAUCACUAGCAAAAGAAAAAAGUGUCUUUCUCAGCUGCUCCCCUGCUUGUUUUGUUCGCUGUAUUCUUGUAAAGUGGGAGAAAAUAAGUGUCAUUUAAUGAAUAGUGCUAUUCUUUGUCUGACAGCUUCAUAUCUGUUAGGUGUAGGAGGCCUACUACUUUCUUUUUCUGAUAAUGUUUUUGACAGUGUGCUAAAUUCCUCCCCCAAAAGGCCGGCGUGUAUAUUCUGCUAAAAGGGGCUUCAUCUCUCCUGAAUGGGUGCCCUCUUUUAACCCCCUUCAGCUUCUGUUCUUACAUUAAUUGAGCUGAUCAGAUUGAGCAUAUGAAUUUGUCUUUGAUGUAUUCGUAUGUUUAGUUGACGUUGCUCUCUCUCUCAUUGGCAGCGGACAGAGCUCUCAGACAAAUAGGACUGUUGCCAUGGUAACAGGCAAUAGCUAGGGAUCUCUUGAAAAAUAUUUUUAUUUCAAAAUUCAAACUGGAAAAUUCUCACUGGAUAUGGUUCUCAGUUCUAAACGUGUCAUAUCUAAUGAUGAAUGCAAUUAGGAAUCCCACCAGUGUUUUAAAUAAUAAAUUAGCUUAAUUUUCUAGGCCUGGCAUGAUGACAUACAAAUACUAAAAAGGCGUCUUCUUUUUUAAAAUCCAUGACAAAGGACUUAUUAAUGACUUUUGUUCUUAGGAUUUCAAAUUAAAACGGAUGGUAGGGUAAUGAUAGCGCUUUCUAUCUGCUGAAAACCAGAGGCCUAGAGGUAAACUUAUUUUUUUUUUAAGAAACCACUUCAAGCUGCUGUAAUAUUUGGUUAUUUCAUUUUUUAGAAAGCAGGUGUAGAAAUCCUUCUAUAAAUGUUGAAUGCUAUAGCAGUUGGUAAAUCUCAGUGGAUAAAAAAUGCCCAUAGCCAUUUUUAAUUACUGAGUAUGAGAAAAAAGGAUAGAUGGUGAGCAUAAGUUUUAUAGACCACUAUCAUCUUACAGCGGUUUUCAAAUUCUUAGUAUGUUAGUUGAAAUACAAGGAAAAAAUAAAAACAAAUACUUCAUUAUGUGACAUAAAUUGUAGUUAUUUUAAAACUUAAUUUAUUCACGACUAUACAAUUCCAGUUAUAUUAAUUAUUAUUUCCCCUAGUCAUACCAUGUGGGGCUUAGAGAACAAUGAAAAUUACUGUACAGCUUGAUAGCUUCAAGGAUCUGCCAUAAUGUGUAAUCACAUUACAAAGAGGGCUACUAGAAACACACCAAAUUUUUCUAUUCCUUAAACUUUGUUUUUAGCAUUGUUCAGCUCUUUGUAUCUGUUAUUCACGGUGUUAUGUGUCAGAAUGCAGAACUUAACUUUUUGAUAUUAACUGGCAAGGGUGCUACUUUCUUUAAUUUUGAGUUAAGCCAGUCACAAUAAUAAAAUCAAGCAAAUCCAUGUGUAUUUUGGGUUUGUUUGAAGGAAAUGGAUCUUACUCAAAUUUUAGAAUGUCAGCAUACAAAAUAAUGAACAAAGAGGUUAAAUUAAAUCCAAAUGGUAAUGAGUGUCUGUAGUACAUGCCAUCUCGUGUUAUAUAUGGCUUUUACAUUUAUACAUUUAAAAAAAGUUUGUGUCUAAGGCAAAAAGAUAGAAAAAAGUUAAACCUAAGACACUAGUAGUUAUGAAUUUCUAUGCUUUUACUAUUACUUUAAAUAAAAUUUUAUUACUAUGGCCUAAAUAAAAUAUGAAUAUUAAAAGUUUUAUUCUACAUUAUACUACUAAACCACCUGAAAUAUUACUUUUUUCCUCAAAAACUGAAGUAUAAUAUUUUCUAUAAUACCAAAAAAAAAAACAACCCUUAUAUGAAAAACUACAGGGGACUAGCAAUGAACAUCUUAGCUUCUAUUGGUAAGUGAACAUUUCUCCCCUUAACUAUAUUUCCAGUCUAUUUUCAUCAAAAAUCCACGGUGAAGACAGUAAAUCCAAAUCUACUUCAGAGUUCACAUUGACGGCUGUGGCCUGCUAAAGCUCUCUGGAAGGUGAGGACAUACCUAGGAGAUCCCGGCAUGAACCUCACCCCAUCUGGCUGUCCUGAGAGUCAUAUAUUAAUAGAAACAGUCCACUCUGAAUCAGGAGGAUGUAUCUUCCUCAGUCAGCCUUUAGUUGUUCAUCUGAGUUGGGGCAGUAUGCCUUUGCAUUCUUUCAGAGUGAUUAAAUGCAAUUUUUAAAAGUUUAUUUUAUUUUUUUAAUUACAAAGGUAAUUCAUACUUAUGCACAAAAACCAAAAAAUAUUGAAAGUGUCCCUUUAUCUCCAAAGCUAACCACCCUGUAUUAAAAGAACCACCAGCAAUUGGUUAUAUAUCCUUUCAGACCUCUAAUCAAAGACAUUUUUGAAAGUACAGGAUUUCAUUCACCUUCCACCUUAUGAUCCUUGACGAUGAGUGAUAUGAGAAAGAGGGAAAGGAAAGCAGGAGUGUCUUUCUGUUUCUUUUUCCUAUGCCUAAACUAGAUAGUAAGGUAUGAGAAAGAACACUCAUGUUUCAUUUCUCACUCAUCAACAGUCACAACCCUCAAGUGGGAAGGGAGUGUGAAUCCAGGUGGUUUCUUUCCCACCACUGUCAAAAUCAUCUAAGUGCCUAGAAAUCACAACCCUCAAUACAUUCCUGGUCUUCCCAGGUCUGAGCCAUUUCCCUGAUGGAAAUAACUAUCCAUAAGUGAUGUUACAUACAGCUCACCAGAGUACCAUAUUACCAUGCUGAGUUGGAAAAAGAAAGCCCUGCCUUUCCGUGUUUAAAAUAUUUUGAAAAUACAAAGCAUGAAGAUGCCAGUUUCUUUUCUUGCUCAGCACUGCAAAGAUCUACUCCAAACACAGAGUGGCUCAUUGACUUUGGCGCUGAAGGCUUAAAUCAGCUCCAUAAGUGUCCAGCAAGCCAAAAUGAAAGCUAAACACACAUUGUUACUGAAGCCUAUGCUGCAUUUCACAACUCCAGGGCUAUAACUUAAAGACAAUUUACCUCAGAAAAUAUAAGGCAGCACAGGGCAGUGGCAGGAGACCUAGAUUUGGAAUCAGAAUGACAGGGUCAGACAUUUCUCACUAGCACCCAGACCUUAAGUGACCUCCCUGAGCCAUAACGUCUUAAUCUAUAAAACAGGGAUCAUAAUAUCAGCCCUCCUCCUAGGGUUAUUGUGCAGUGAAAAUGAGAUAAAUACGAAUGUGCUUUAAAAUAUAUAUAGAUUGCAUUUAAACCCUGUAUUAUCUAUAUUUUUUAAAUGAAAAUCAAACCUAUUGAUUUUAUAAAUUACAUUUUCCAUUAAAAUCUUGAAAUUUAUAAGAAUCAAGUGUGGAUAACUAAUUUAGUCUUACAAUGCA